rnacentral:lncRNA from 1 species
CAAAGGAUGCGAAUUGCAAUUGAAGGGACAGUCCGCGGGCACACCGUACCCACGCCGCGAGGGACCGUCUCCGGCCCAGAGAGAAACACCCACCCCGUGGUUGACUCCCGACCUUCAUAGCGUUACGCGCAUGAGUCGAAGCCAAGCCGAAGCCCGCCAAAGCCCCACCGCCACGUCACACCCCUCAUCUCGUUUAGGUCUUUUGGCGGCAGCACCAACACAAAACAAGGCUCGACAGGCCAGUGGUCUGCCGACAGCCCCAUCAAACGCAAGCACCACACAUAUAUCAUGUCCGAAGACGAUGGCUGGCAUCAGAGACGCG